UACGUAGGGUGCGAGCGUUAAUCGGAAUUACUGGGCGUAAAGCGUGCGCAGGUGGUUUGUUAAGUCAGAUGUGAAAGCCCUGGGCUUAACCUAGGAAUUGCGUUUGAAACUGGCGAGCUAGAGUCUGUCAGAGGGGGGUAGAAUUCCAUGUGUAGCAGUGAAAUGCGUAGAGAUGUGGAGGAAUAUCGAUGGCGAAGGCAGCCCCCCUGAGAUAAGACUGACGCUCAUGCACGAAAGCGGUGGGGAGCAAACAGGAUUAGAUACCCUGGUAGUCCACGCCCUAAACGAUGUCGACUGGUUGUUGGGCAACUUGAUUGUUCAGUAACGAAGCUAACGCGAGAAGUCGACCGCCUGGGGAGUACGGUCGCAAGAUUAAACUCA
rnacentral:rRNA from 1 species